UAGCAGGUACUUCGGUAUGCUGACGAGUGGCGGACGGGUGAGUAACGCGUAGGAAUCUGCCUAUCUGUGGGGGAUACCGUUUGGAAACGAACGUUAAUACCGCAUAAUGUCUACGGACUAAAGGUGGCACUUCGGUGCUGUCGCGGAUGGAUGAGCCUGCGUUAGAUUAGCUUGUUGGUGGGGUAAAGGCCUGCCAAGGCUACGAUCUAUAGCUGAUUUGAGAGGAUGAUCAGCCACAUUGGAACUGAGACACGGUCCAAACUCCUACGGGAGGCAGCAGUGGGGAAUAUUGGACAAUGGAGGAAACUCUGAUCCAGCAAUACCAUGUGUGUGAAGAAGGCUCUAGGGUCGUAAAGCACUUUAGUCAGGGAGGAAGGCCUUGUCGUUAAUAGCGGCAGGGAUUGACGUUACCUGAAGAAUAAGCACCGGCUAACUCCGUGCCAGCAGCCGCGGUAAUACGGGGGGUGCAAGCGUUAAUCGGAAUUACUGGGCGUAAAGGGUUCGUAGGUGGUAUAGUAAGUCAGAUGUGAAAGCCCAGGGCUCAACCUUGGAACUGCAUUUGAUACUGCUAAACUAGAGUAUAGUAGA
rnacentral:rRNA from 1 species